GACGAACGCUGGCGGCGUGCCUAAUACAUGCAAGUAGAACGCUGAAGGAGGAGCUUGCUUCUCCGGAUGAGUUGCGAACGGGUGAGUAACGCGUAGGUAACCUGCCUGGUAGCGGGGGAUAACUAUUGGAAACGAUAGCUAAUACCGCAUAAGAGUAGAUGUUGCAUGACAUUUGCUUAAAAGGUGCAAUUGCAUCACUACCAGAUGGACCUGCGUUGUAUUAGCUAGUUGGUGAGGUAACGGCUCACCAAGGCGACGAUACAUAGCCGACCUGAGAGGGUGAUCGGCCACACUGGGACUGAGACACGGCCCAGACUCCUACGGGAGGCAGCAGUAGGGAAUCUUCGGCAAUGGACGGAAGUCUGACCGAGCAACGCCGCGUGAGUGAAGAAGGUUUUCGGAUCGUAAAGCUCUGUUGUAAGAGAAGAACGAGUGUGAGAGUGGAAAGUUCACACUGUGACGGUAUCUUACCAGAAAGGGACGGCUAACUACGUG
rnacentral:rRNA from 1 species